UAUGUAUCAUAAUGAGGUUUGGGAUUUAGUUGAGUUACCAGAUGGAUGCAGACCAAUUGGUUGCAAAUGGGUUUUCAAAACCAAAAGAGAUGCCAGAGGUCAGGUAGAGAGGUAUAAGGCCAGGCUUGUGGCUAAGGGUUUCAGUCAAAGAGAAGGCAUUGAUUACACUGAAACCUACUCUCCUGUUUCUACCAAAGACUCUUUUCGUAUUAUCAUGGCAUUAGUAGCUCAUUUCAAUUUAGAAUUGCAUCAGAUGGAUGUGAAGACAGCUUUUCUCAAUGGGAGCUUGUCUGAAGAUGUAUACAUGGUGCAACCUGAUGGUUUUGUUGAGUCUGGUAGAGAAAACAUGGUGUGUAAGCUUAAAAGGUCCAUUUAUGGACUUAAGCAAGCAUCCAGACAGUGGUAUUUGAAAUUUCACGAUAUUGUCACCUCUUAUGGGUUCCAGGAGAAUGCCGUUGAUCAGUGUAUAUACUUGAGAGUCAGUGGGAGCAAGUAUAUCAUUUUGGUGCUUUAUGUGGAUGAUAUCUUGCUCGCUACUAAUGACACUAAUUUGUUACUUGAGACAAAGCAAAUGUUGUCAUGCAGCUUUGAUAUGAAGGAUCUUGGUGAAGCCCAUUAUGUAUUAGGGAUAGAGAUUCUUCGUGACAGACCUAGAGGAAUUCUAGGUUUGUCUCAAAAGACUUACAUUGAUCGCAUUUUGAAAAGGUUCAAUUUGCAGUCUUGUGCUCCUGGGAAAGCUCCAAUUUCGAAAGGUGACAAAAUUUCCAAGUCUCAAUGUCCCGAUAAUGAUGUAGACAAAGCUAGAAUGCAAACAGUCCCGUAUGCAUCCGUUGUGGGUAGCUUGAUGUAUGCUCAAGUCUGUACUCGCCCUGAUAUUGCCUUUCCAGUGGGAGUACUUGGAAGAUACCUGAGCAAUCCUGGAUUUGAACACUGGAAGGCUGCAAAGAAAGUACUCAGAUAUUUGCGAGCCACUAAAGAUUUUGUAUUGACAUAUCAGCAAUCUGACUAUUGGCUAGGCUUGUGGCUAAGGGUUUCAGUCAAAGAGAAGGCAUUGACUACACUGAAACGUACUCUCAUGUUUCUACCAAAGACUCUUUUUGUAUUAUCAUGGCAUUGGUAGCUCAUUUCAAUUUAGAAUUGCAUCAGAUGGAUGUGAAGACAGCUUUUCUCAAUGGAAGCUUAUCUGAAGAUGUGUACAUGGUGCAACCUGAUGGUUUUGUUGAGACUGAUAGAGAAAACAUGGUGUGUAAACUUAAAAGGUCCAUUUAAGGACUUAAACAGGCGUCUAGACAGUGGUAUUUGAAAUUUCACGAUAUUGUCACCUCUUAUGGGUUCCAGGAGAAUGCCGUUGAUCAGUGUAUAUACUUGAGAGUCAGUGGGAGCAAGUAUAUCAUUUUGGUGCUUUAUGUGGAUGAUAUCUUGCUCGCUGCUAAUGACACUAAUUUAUUACUUGAGACAAAACAAAUGUUGUCAUACAGCUUUGAUAUGAAGGAUCUUGGUGAAGCCCAUUAUGUAUUAGGGAUAGAGAUUCUUCGUGAUAGAUCUAGAGGAAUUCUAGGUUUGUCCCAAAAGACUUACAUUGAUCGCAUUUUGAGAAGGUUCAAUUUGCAGUCUUGUGCUCCUGGGAAAGCUCCAAUUUCGACAGGUGACAAAAUUUCCAAGUCUCAGUGUCCCGAUAAUGAUGUAGACAAAGCUAGAAUGCAAACAGUCCCGUAUGCAUCCGUUGUGGGUAGCUUGAUGUAUGCUCAAGUCUGUACUCGCCCUGAUAUUGCUUUUCCAGUGGGAGUACUUGGAAGAUACCUGAGCAAUCCUGGAUUUGAACACUGGAAGGCUGCAAAGAAAGUACUCAGAUAUUUGCGAGCCACUAAAGAUUUUGUAUUGACAUAUCAGCAAUCUGACCAUUUGAAUAUAGUUGGAUAUUCUGAUGCUGAUUUCGCAGGGUGCUUGGAAGACAAGAAAUCCACAUCUGGUUACAUCUUUAUGAUGGCAGGAGGAGCUAUAUCAUGGAAAAGUGUCAAGCAGACACUUAUAGCUUCUUCAACAAUGGAAGCAGAAUAUGUAGCCUGUUUUGAGGCUACACGUCAUGCUUUAUGGAUGCAGAAUUUUAUCACAGGGCUAGAUUGUAUAUUGGCCGUUCCGAGGCCACUAAAGAUAUACUGUGAUAAUUCUGCAGCUGUUUCUUUUUCUCACAACACAGGGAGUUCCUCAUGUUCCAAGCACAUUAAUAUUAAAUAUUUGUUUGUGAGAGAGAAAAUUGCUCUAUCUUGUGUAUCAGUAG
rnacentral:lncRNA from 1 species